CUAAUUGCAGCCCUCGGACAAACACAAUGUUGCUUUCGUGCAUAAGUAUGGAUAUUCCUACAGUCGUGCAUGGUAACGUUUCUACUCUUGUGGGCGCAUCACCGAGAGGCUUGCAAAGGUCCCUUUGAUAUUGUACAUACAUAUGCCUAAGGGUGGCACCUAAGGUGUAAUUCAUCAACAAGCUCAAUAAUUGUGUUUACCAAAGCAAAACGCAAAGGGCAUAGCUUCGUGAUACAUAUAUUACUACCACUGAUUCUACAGUAUAUGGUGGGAUACUCAUUAAAUAUAAUCUUACCUGUAAAACAAGAAUUUAGACAUGCCGUCAGAAGGCAAGACAACAUUUCAUUAUAAUCGCAAUAGGGCCGCAAUAUUGCCGAUGCGAUGAAAAAUUUUAACUCACUCCCUCACAUAUCAUUAUACCACCAAAUAAUAAGAGGCUGGAAUUCGGUGUUUUCAGGCACUGGCACAAGUAGAAAAUGCCUCGAAUCGCCCUCCUUUCGCUCUGUUUAGGUACAGUCUGCCUCCCAGAAGCGUUCCCAUCCCAAAACUAGAGAACGAUCAAGCAUGUCCUAGCAUUUUACUAGCCCUUCAAUCAUUUACUGCCACUGACAACACUCUCUACUGUUACCUAACAUGACAGACAGCUAUCCAUGAGCACACGAUAUAUAUGGCUUAUUCUUGCAACGUAUUAAUUAGGCUAUAUUUGUGAGUAUGGUCCCUAUUCAUGGUUCAUUGCUGCAUACAAUGCCACGCAGGUCUCGGCUGUACCUCGCCAGAUCACGUGCCCCUGUUGUCGGUAUAUAAAUAUCAGAUUUCUUUAGAAACUUGGAUGGAGAAUACUUUCUCUUGGCACCAAUAUCCAGCAGGAUAACCUGAGUGUCCUCACCAGUACUGAUGACGCGUGUUAUCAUCUGCGCCAUGACAAGGACUGCGACCUUCUUGGCUUCAGGUCUUCCUCCGCGGGCACCUGCAAACACGGAGCCCACAUCAUGCAGAACUGUUGCGAGAUCAGCAGGCCCUCUCCGAGGCUGGAGACUGUGGAUGGAUGUGAACAGCUCCAUCUUGUUGGUGUAGCUGUUGAACCGGACCUGGGACACCGUCUGCUGACCAAAUGUGACCACGCUGACCACGACAGUGUGGAGGAGAACGAAGCGCUGCCGAUCUACAUGUACAUGCACACCAACCUCUUCCAUGCUGUCGUCGGGGGAUAUGUGUACAGAGGCAGGAAUCUUCUUGACUUGUACGGGCGCUAUCUGUACGGAGACGCCAUGACCGGUGCCAAAAGACCAAAUAUCAUAGUUUGGGCGACGCUUAGAUCUAAACCAAAGACCAGAGGAUACUAGAAACAGAUAACAGAUGAAAAUCAGCACACAUGAAUUCCGAUGCAUUAUGCCUCCAGACUACCCGUGCCAUUUGAAAGUCACAUUAGUCACCUGAAAGGGUAUAUGCCAGUGACACUAGGAUGAGAUGCUUCCGGUUUGUGAUGGAAAUCAGUGUCCGUGUGACACCAGGGAGCGACCCAGAGACUUCCUACUGACCUUUGGUCAAGAUGAACAAGGAGAGAUAUACCUUCUGACGACGUCUUCAAUAACGGCUUCCAAAGACGAUGACGUUGCUUUGAAAAUAGUGUCAUCACUUGGGGAGGUACUUUCUUAUCUCACGCCAGGAUAUCAAUAUUUUAUGCGGCUGUGUAAGACGUCUCGGAGGUAAGCCAAUGUAUUAACCUUAGAUUUAAGAAAAGGUAUGCCUGCACCAGGACCGAACACACAUUACAGGUAACAGUAGAUCAAGGCAUUGCUUUGUUAGGAUAAUCUUGUUAGGAACCACAAAACAUUUGUUUCAGGAAAUCCCACGUGUCUGGUGAACAGUUAUAAUUUAAAUGUAAACUCUGCGGUCAAAUAGUGCCUCCAGUAUUUGUUAAACAAUGAAACAAGCCUCUGUCCCCGACCCCUCCUCCUCCACCUCCAAAACAUCAACGGACUUUCCCUUAAAAACACUAUAAAUUCACAUUGGUUCCAGCAGCCAACACUCGUGCAUGUUAUGUUUACUUUAGGUAGACAUACAUGUGAAUCAUGUUCAGGGUGCUUAAUACGCACACAUAAACUAAAUAUAAGACUGUGUACGUUUGCAGAGUUUUGCACCACUCUUUUAUAUCGCUAUUCUUUUACCUUGAAGGAUGCAAAAUUGUAUUUAGUAUGUAUCCAUCAAACCCAUCACACUCCAUGAAUUCUAUUGUCCAGCGGCCGCAGUGCAUAGCCGAACAAAUUAGUAUUAUGGUCAGCAUUGGUCAGUACACAACACUGCUGAUGGUGACCUGCUUGAUUGAUCGUUCCCCUCCUUAUUAAAGCAAGAAACCUUUUGUUAUCUGAUACAUUUUGUCUUAUGUAUAUAUAUUCUAGAUGGUCUAUGUUUUUACAUGUGGUGUUCAUGACAACGGUGCUUGUACAUACAGCAAUCAACGAUGAUCAUAUGUUUCAAAGGUAUAGCUUCAUGUAAAAUAAACGCCCCAAAUUAGUUCAUAUCAGGAAACAGACGCAAUUUCCUGUCAUCGCAUGCAUUGUCUACUUAUUUGAGCUUGUUUCAAUCAUGUCAAAUUUGGCUUUUGGUCCUGUGAUUGAUUUGUUUGCGUGUUUUUUACAAUAAAAUCAAAGCUGCUCUACUCUACGCUUCGUGAAUUGAUUUCCAUUGAUAGGAAAUACAGGGCAUUAGAGGUAAUACAAGGCAUGAUAGGUAAUACAGGGCAUUAGAGGUAGAACAGGACAUUAGAGGUAGUACAGGGCAUUAGAGGUAAUACAGGGCAUGAUAGGUAAUACAGGGCAUGAUAGGUAAUACAGGGCAUUAGAGGUAGUAGCGCAUUAGAGGAAAUACAGGGCAUUAGAGGUAAUACAGGGCAUGAUAGGUAAUACAGGGCAUGAAAGGUAAUACAUCGCAUUAGAGGAAAUACAGGGCAUUAGAGGUAAUACAGGGCAUGAUAGGAAAUACAGGGCAUUAGAGGUAGUACAGGGCAUUAGAGGUAAUACAGGGCAUGAUCGGUAAUACAGGGCAUUAGAGGUAAUACAGGGCAUGAUAGGUAAUACAGGAGAUUAGAGGUAGUACAGGGCAUUAGAGGUAAUACAGGGCAUGAUAGGUAA
rnacentral:lncRNA from 1 species